AUGGGGACACGGUGGGACAUGGUGGGACAUUGGAACAUUGGGACACAGUGGGAGCUGGUGGCACCCCAGAGGUGGCACCCCGGCGGUGACAGCGGUGUCCCCACAGGAGUUCAGCUGGUUCCUGUGGCGCCGGCACGGCCGUGCUGUGUCCGUGUGGGAGCGGCUGGAGUUCCUCAACGGGUGGUACCUGCUGCUGGUCACCAGUGACCUCCUGACCGUGCUGGGCACUGUCCUCGAGAUCGGCAUCGAGGCCAAGGAAGAAGCAGUAGAGAAUAACCCUCCAUUUUGAUCUGCUCAACCAUCACAACUCCAAAAGCCUCCCCAUGCUGGCCUGUCUUUGCCUGCAUUUAAAGCAUCCAGUUCCCUGGGUUGUUGCUCAGGAUUCUCAGCCAAACCUGGCAGAUCACCUUCAGGAUUUCUGUUUACUUCCUCUGCACUGAUUUUAUCCAUGAAGGAGUCUGGCUGCCUGCAGCAGCUCAUGUCUCUCCUCUUCCUCAGUGGAUUCCUUGAAGCCUGGAGAUCUCAGAUGUAACCAUCCUAAAGGCGAGGGAAGAGAGAACUCUGCUAUGAGACUGAGCAGAUGGCCUGGCCUGUCCUGGGGACACCAUCCCCAGCUUCACCCUCCAGACAAUCCCCAGCCCUGCCACGUGCCCCUUCCUGAGACACCUUCUCCAGGCCUGGCCACACGGGAGGAGCAAGGAGCACUUGCAUGUAUCAGCAGGAGGAAAAUCAAAGUGCUGUGACAAUGGAUUGUACAGAUUUAAUUCUUUUCUGGCAGAAAGUUGUCAUGAGAAUUGUGAGCAGGUGCUCAGAGAGACUGAUUUUUAGAACAAAUAUUUUGGUUAUGAGAUAAUAUGGUCCCAGGGAGAACUUUUAGUAAAAUAAGUGUAUGAAAACCUUUGUAAAUGGAAGUUCCCUGCCACACAAUAUCACAUUUAUAAUGGCCUAUUUAAGAAAUUUAAUGUCAGUGGGGUUGGUUAGAGGUUUUGUGCUUUUGUUAUUUAUUUUUGAUCAUACCUGUUUUCAGAGAGGUGUGUUCAUGUGUGUGUAACAUGAAGUUGUCAGAUCCUGUAGGAAAAUAGCAGCAAAUCUCAGUAUCUCAAGAUGCUGUCUUGAAACUUCAUCUUCUCUUAGUUGCACCAGAAAACUAAUUCCUUUCUGCACAAAAUGAACAGCAUUAAAAUCUCAAACUUCAUGUGAA